UAGUAUAGCUGUGCAUUUUAGCACCAGCCUAAGCACCAUCUCCAUUGCGCAUGCGCCAAAGUUCUGUUACCUUCUACUUUCAUUUUCACUGUGUCGAGGGGAGUGUUUACAUACCUGUAUCUUUAUAUCACGAAUUCACCACUGAUAUAUGUAAUUGAGCUUUAUACUUUAUGAAAAAGGACGGAUAGAAGCACCCGUGUAUCUCGGCUUCUGCCAUGUUAUUGAUUUGGGUUUCACCGGGCAAACCACGAGCAGACAAAUGCUGUAACAUAGGAAGGGAUUGAUGACCCGUGUAUCCCAGGUUACACAUUGAUGCCAUCCAUAUACCCAUCAUGAAUUUGGUUUCACUGGGAAGUGUGCAUACCACAAGCAGAAAAAAACUGAUUAGUAACUAUAAGAUCAAUAGACAAAAAAGGAUUACAUACUGUUCACAGAAGAUUACAAUCUCAAAUGGAUUCUGAUGAUGUUAAGAAGAAGAGGGUUCAACCUACAGUAGACAAGUGGAGGAAAGGGUUUAUGGUGCAGGGAGAAUGUGGGUUGGACUUCUCAAAACUGCCAGUAAAGAGACGCCACUCGAAGUCUUCAAGUGGUUCAACCAAAAACAAAGUCAGAAAAGCUGGCACAAUUGGUGGAACUUCAACUUACAUCCCUGCGGCAAAUAACCAGCAAAAUGUUGAACAACAAAU